GGCAAACAUACAGGGGGCAGGACAACCCUAGGCAGCUCUCUUCUGGGGUAAGUGAGAAUACAGUGUGACUGAGUCGGGAAGAAGGAUGCACACAGUCGGUCGGGGAGGCUGGAGGAGAGAAGCUGGCUUUUACCACUUUUUAAAGAGACGCGUCAAGGACAACAGAAUCUGUCCCAGGCCAGAAUGUCACAGGGAAGCCAUUUUGCUUCAAAUCAUUUAAGACAGAAAAUCUAAAUGAGAAGAUUCUGGCAGCAUCAAGGAAGGCUCCGAGUGACCCAAAGCUUCAGAUCUAUUAAUCCUUUCAGAGAAAAGAGAAACACAGACACAAGGCACGCCAUUUUUUCUUUAUGAGGAAAUUCAAUCUUGUCACAUUGUCAGAAAAAGCAUCUGUCAAAACUAAAUAGUUUUAAUAUUUUUUUCACUUACAAUCUCUGAAUACAAUGAUCUACACUUCAUCACUUCAUGAAAUGUCGCCCCUCAAUAUCCCUGGGUGAGUCAUUCCAGGACUGCUCUCCAAUAUUAAUGUCUGCGGAUGCUCAAGUUCCUGAUAUAAAAUGGUGCAGUAUUUGCAUAUAACCUAGGCACAUCCUCCUGUAUACUUUAAAUCAUCUCUGGAUUACUUGUAACACCUAAUACGAUGUAAGCACUAUGUCAAUAGUUGUUAUACUGUAUUGGUUUUUAAAUUUGUAUUAUUUUUCAUUGUUACAUAUAUUUUGAACCUUUUUAAAAAAUAUUUUUCAACCAAACUUGGUUGAAUUCACAGAGGUGCAGCUCAUGGAUACAGAGGGUCGACUGUAUAUGACGUUAAACAUCUACUGACUUGAAACAUAAUCUGCUCUUUUACAUAUAUUAUCUGUGGAAUCACUACAAAUGAUGUAAACAGUGGUA
rnacentral:lncRNA from 13 species